rnacentral:rRNA from 1 species
AGAGUUUGAUUAUGGCUCAGGAUGAACGCUGGCGGCGUGCCUAACACAUGCAAGUCGAGCGAUUUACUUCGGUAAAGAGCGGCGGACGGGUGAGUAACGCGUGGGUAACCUGCCUCAUACACAUGGAUAACAUACCGAAAGGUAUGCUAAUACAGGAUAAUAUAAGAGAUUCACAUGGAUUUCUUAUCAAAGCUCCGGCGGUAUGAGAUGGACCCGCGUCUGAUUAGCUAGUUGGUAAGGUAAUGGCUUACCAAGGCGACGAUCAGUAGCCGACCUGAGAGGGUGAUCGGCCACAUUGGAACUGAGACACGGUCCAAACUCCUACGGGAGGCAGCAGUGGGGAAUAUUGCACAAUGGGCGAAAGCCUGAUGCCAGCAACGCCGCGUGAGUGAUGAAGGCCUUCGGGUCGUAAAACUCUGUCCUCAAGGAAGAUAAUGACGGUACUUGAGGAGGAAGCCCCGGCUAACUACGUGCCAGCAGCCGC